AGUGCUGCUCUCGGCCUUUUGGCUAAGAUCAAGUGUAGUAUCUGUUCUUAUCAGUUUAAUAAAAAUAAAUGUGUCUUUGGCAUCAGCACUCUGACACAUAUUUGUGGCUUUUACUGACUAAAUCGUGGAGAUUCAACCUUAAAGCAUCAUCUUCCAUUUUCACAAAGUGGAUUAAACCUGAAUUUUU